rnacentral:rRNA from 1 species
AGGGAAUCUUCCGCAAUGGACGAAAGUCUGACGGAGCAACGCCGCGUGAGUGAAGAAGGUCUUCGGAUCGUAAAGCUCUGUUGUUAGGGAAGAACAAGUAUCGGAGGAAAUGCCGGUACCUUGACGGUACCUGACGAGAAAGCCACGGCUAACUACGUGCCAGCAGCCGCGGUAAUACGUAGGUGGCAAGCGUUGUCCGGAUUUAUUGGGCGUAAAGCGCGCGCAGGCGGUCCUUUAAGUCUGAUGUGAAAUCUUGCGGCUCAACCGCAAGCGGUCAUUGGAAACUGGGGGACUUGAGUGCAGAAGAGGAAAGCGGAAUUCCACGUGUAGCGGUGAAAUGCGUAGAGAUGUGGAGGAACACCAGUGGCGAAGGCGGCUUUCUGGUCUGUAACUGACGCUGAGGCGCGAAAGCGUGGGGAGCAAAC